rnacentral:rRNA from 1 species
UACGAGUGCCCCAAGCGUUGUCCGGAAUCAUUGGGCGUAAAGAGCGUGUAGGCGGCCCGGUAAGUCCGCUGUGAAAGUCCAGGGCUCAACCCUGGGAUGCCGGUGGAUACUGUCGGGCUCGAGUCCGGAAGAGGAGUGUGGAAUUCCUGGUGUAGCGGUGAAAUGCGCAGAUAUCAGGAGGAACACCAAUGGCGAAGGCAGCACUCUGGGACGUGACUGACGCUGAGACGCGAAAGCGUGGGGAGCAAACAGG